rnacentral:rRNA from 1 species
UACGAAGGGGGCUAGCGUUGCUCGGAAUCACUGGGCGUAAAGCGCACGUAGGCGGAUCUUUAAGUCAGGGGUGAAAUCCCGGAGCUCAACUCCGGAACUGCCUUUGAUACUGGAGAUCUUGAGUCCGGGAGAGGUGAGUGGAACUGCGAGUGUAGAGGUGAAAUUCGUAGAUAUUCGCAAGAACACCAGUGGCGAAGGCGGCUCACUGGCCCGGUACUGACGCUGAGACGCGAAAGCGUGGGGAGCAAACAGG